rnacentral:rRNA from 1 species
UACGGGGGGGGCAAGCGUUGUUCGGAAUUACUGGGCGUAAAGGGCUCGUAGGUGGCCAACUAAGUCAGACGUGAAAUCCCUCAGCUUAACUGGGGAACUGCGUCUGAUACUGGAUGGCUUGAGUUUGGGAGAGGGAUGCGGAAUUCCAGGUGUAGCGGUGAAAUGCAUAGAUAUGACCCGGAACACCUAUUGCGAAGGCAGCAGGCUAAACAAAUAUUGACGCUGAGGCUCGAAAGCGUGGGGAUCAAACAGG